UGGCACACAGUGAACAUGAACUUGGUGUCCGGUCAUUGCUCUUGACGUCCGGUUGGGAGCUCGUCAUUGAACAUACACGCCGGCGGAACAGCCAUGCAAGCGGGCACCUUGAAUUUCGUGCGCUUCCUUCAAGAAAACUGUCUAUCGUGAAGCCCAGGCUCUGCGGAGGACUGACUCUCCACAGGAUGGCAAUGCCAGGCUCGUAGGGAUGGAAAGGAGGGGGCUGAAGAUGGAUAUGUGCUGCCUUGUUGGCAAGUGGUGAGGACAGGUGAGGCAAUGGAUCCGUGAGAUUUUCCAUUAAAUCAAGAAAAACACAACUUGCCCCUAACAUCACCUCUGAAGGCUUCUUAGACCAGCUGCUUCCCUGACGCCCUACCGAGGAACAAAUUGCUUUCCUAGCAGGACAUUUGGACACUCCUGCAUUAACAGAUAUGGAUCCCAGCAUGCCGAGCCAAGCGAGAAGGCAAUUUAAUAUGAGCAACACUGUCAUCCCAAUUUAGGACAACAGCUAGGAUGCCCUCCAGGGCAUCGCAACAGU